UUGGAUAUGAUGACCUUUUAUUUAUGCUGACUCUCUAUGGAGCUAAAUUUGAGCUUUUUAACUCUGAUUAUC